CUAUAGUGACGGAGCGAAGAUUGUAAACACUGUGUGGAAUCUGCUGCAAGGAUGAAGAGGCACGACUUAUAGCUGCAAAGGAGGAAGCUGAGAGGCUAGAGAGAGAAUGGAAGGACAGAGAUUGCAGAGAGGAUGAACUAACUGAACUCCAUCUUUUACUACAAGAAAACAGUCAAGCUGCAAAUAAAUGGUAUGGAGACCUCAGAGCAAAGGCUAAGUGGGAGCAUUACAUGCAGUGUGAUGGCAGUUCUGCUCCAUCAGUGCCACAUGAGAUAAAUACCUUUAUGAAUCUGUGGAGGGACAACAAAUGUGUAGACAUUAACUCGGUAUGGUUGAAGUCAACAUUAGCAAUAAGUCUGUUGGAUACAGGACUACAGACUUUUCCAUACCCCAUGGAAACAAUCAAAUCAAUUAACUGGUUCUGGGAAAUUGGAUGAGAAGGAAACUGAUAGUAACAGUUUUACUUUUCCACCAGUAUGUGUCACAAUCAGUCUUGCUGACAAUAGUAAUGUUUUUGGAGGACCCUCAGGUUGCUAGAUGGGACACAGAAGGAUGGUCAGUGUAUGUUGAACCUGCUUUGUUCCAACAAAGAUAACCAUUCCCACAUGAGAGGAUAUUGGAUGACCCCCGCUGCACUCAUAAGGGCAAUGAGAAGUGCUGGAGUAAACAUCUUUGUGGAGGAAGAUUCAGAUAAAAUAAAAAAAGAAUCCGUAAGCAGAACAAGCUAUUUAUGAAACGAUGGCUCUGGCUUCAUCUGCGUAUGCUUUUUCUUGGAGCAAAUGGAAUGCAGCGUGUGGCACAGAACACAUUGUUAUACCGGUAUGUUAUUAAAAGCAAGAGCUACCAGUUUUUUGGGGGGAUUAUUGCACCAUCCCAUGGCUUUCAUUAAUUAUAAUAAAUUAGAACUACUAAGCACUUCCCACAAAACUGAUUUCAACACUCCAAAUGGUCAAAAUGAAACACAUGGACUGAUGUGUUAAAGCCACUUUACACUUUUUGUGGGGGUGGGGGCUCUCACCACAGAGCAAUAACAUAUAUAUAUAUAUAUAUAUAUAUAUAUAUAAACAC